GGCCAUAUCAUGUUGAAACACCAGUUCUCGUCUGAUCACCAAAGUUGAGCAACGUUGAACCUAGUCAGUAAGAUGGGUGACUACUUGGGAAUAUCAGGUCCUGUAAG